UCAGCCCUGGCAAAAUGACGAUUCUCUGAUUGCUGCCUCCAGCCAUGAAAGUGCAGGAUCUGACUGUGUUUUAUUUUCAUCACCAUUACUACAACAGCAUUUAAAAGGUACACGAUGGCUCGCGGGAAUGCCAGUGUUCCAGAGUGUCCAUCUGGGAAUCAAACAACUCUCCUUCAGUUCCAAGCAGGUACUGUGACAUAUCCAGAGGACCUAUAACUGACAUGGCCCAUUAGUCAUAGAAACAUCCCACUAAAAUUAGAGUCAGCUUUUCAUCUUUAUGGGCCUCAUGCCUCGGUCCAUAUGUAGAACAUACAGAAUGGAUUUUUCUUUUCUUGGCAUGUAACCCCGUCUUUCCGGUAUUUUGGUUCCAGACCUUCGCGAGCAAUGCAGGUCACAGAAUCUUGUCAGAGGACUCCUGCAGUAAGCCAGCAGUUUCUGGAUGAACUACUUCACCUUUCCUAGAAAACCAUCCAUUUUAAAUCUGAAGUUCUCAAGAAUCCUUAAUUACCCAAUACUUAAGCUUGUAAAAGGCACUUAUUCAUGUGGUUCCAGAUUUCACUUAUUAAAUAACCUGCUACAGUAAA